ensembl:lncRNA
CACAGGAGUUAGCAGUCAUUUGCAAACUCACCACGGACCGGAGGAAAUCCUGGAAGACACAGCAGCCAAGGCCAGUCAUUACAACCUGUGGCAGCUCCCCUGCUUGGGCUCUCCCUCUGCCUUGUGGGUUCCCUCCCUCUCAGUCCUCCUGGACGGCCUGGCUGGCUGAUGCUUUCCAGCACCUGUCACCCUGGAUUUUGGCAGAAUGAAGUGAGGAGACAGCUGGAGUCAUUAUAGUUCAUCUGUUUGAAGACUGCCCAAAUGAAAAACAAACAAACAAAUCUGGUGCAUUUACCUUUAUGUCAUUCAAGGAUUUCAGUGAGUGAUGAUUGAAUUCUACCUGUCUUCUGUUCUGUGAGACAAAUACAUAGGCUUCAAUUCACCAGAACAUUUAGAUUCUGUCUCUGCAUGGCUAUCCUUGAAAAACAUCUCCUGGGACGUAUUUUUUUGAAUGAAUUUCAAGAAAUUCUCUCUUCCACAAAUUCCAAAAUCUGCUGAAACUUACAUCCUUUACCCAAUCCUGAGUGUAGAAGACUGUGAAAUCCUGAAAUAUUUAGCAGUGGCUGAUUGUAGAGAUGGAGUAGACACCUACCUCUAGAAUAAGGAAUUGAGGAGACACCCCAGAAGGAAGGCUCUGGAAUCCAUCUCAAACAAUGUUUCCAUAUUGGCCAUGUCUCUGAACUGACUCCUUGACUGGGAACUGUCAUCUUAGGCAAUUUUUGGAUUGGUUUUUCCUGUGUUUUGCAACUAUUGGACUUUUUGAAAAUCGCUAUAGAGUGUAGUGCAUUUAUAUUGUUCUUCUGAGUAAUCUCUUCCCAUGCUAUUAUUCAUGUCUGCAACUUUUUCAAAAAUAAAAUAGGCUUCAAAU